GGAGUUCUUCAGGUACAGUUGUUCCACCAGCUUCAGUGGACAAACAUGUACAAUCCUCGGAUGUUGGACCACCAAAUGCUUCUAAGACGAUAGAAGAAAACAACAGUCAUGAACAUAUUAUUGAGGUCAAUGGUACUAGCUGUGAUGACAAGGCAUCUUCAAAAUCAUCUAAUGCUGAUAAGUCAUUAAGUACUGAGUCUGAGCAAUCCACUGCUCUUAGUGAUGAAGCCAAGGAAUUACCUAGUCCUUCAAGGCUAGACCCAAACAUUUCUGUUGCAGAUGUCAUGUCUUCUAGCGUUGAAGAUGAGCAUCCUGCUGA
rnacentral:misc_RNA from 1 species